rnacentral:rRNA from 1 species
GACGAACGCUGGCGGCGUGCUUAACACAUGCAGGUCGAACGAUGAAGCUAGAGCUUGCUCUGGUGGAUUAGUGGCGAACGGGUGAGUAACACGUGAGUAACCUGCCCCGAACUCUGGGAUAACUGCUGGAAACGGUAGCUAAUACCGGAUAUGACCAAUGAAGGCAUCUUCUGUUGGUGGAAAGAAUUUCGGUUCGGGAUGGACUCGCGGCCUAUCAGCUUGUUGGUGAGGUAACGGCUCACCAAGGCGACGACGGGUAGCCGGGCUGAGGGGGUGAUCGGCCACACUGGGACGGGGGCCCGGCCCAGACUCCUACGGGAGGCAGCAGUGGGGAAUAUUGCACAAUGGGCGCAAGCCUGAUGCAGCAACGCCGCGUGAGGGACGACGGCCUUCGGGUUGUAAACCUCUUUAGUAGGGAAGAAGCGAAAGUGACGGUACCUGCAGAAAAAGCACCGGCUAACUACGUGCCAGCCGCCGCGGUAA